rnacentral:rRNA from 1 species
UACGUAGGGUGCGAGCGUUAAUCGGAAUUACUGGGCGUAAAGCGUGCGCAGGCGGUUUUGUAAGACGGAUGUGAAAUCCCCGGGCUUAACCUGGGAACUGCAUUCGUGACUGCAAGGCUAGAGUAUGGCAGAGGGGGGUAGAAUUCCACGUGUAGCAGUGAAAUGCGUAGAGAUGUGGAGGAAUACCGAUGGCGAAGGCAGCCCCCUGGGCCAAUACUGACGCUCAUGCACGAAAGCGUGGGGAGCAAACAGG